rnacentral:pre_miRNA from 1 species
UGUGAAAUUGUUGGAUCAUGAGGUAUGCUUAACUUUUUAAGAAAAUACCAAACUGUUUUCCAAAAUGGCCAUAACCAUCCUACAUUCCCACCAAU